AGUGAACGCUGGCGGCAGGCCUAACACAUGCAAGUCGAACGGCAGCACAAGAGAGCUUGCUCUCUGGGUGGCGAGUGGCGGACGGGUGAGGAAUGCAUCGGAAUCUGCCCAUUUGUGGGGGAUAACCUCGGGAAACCGGGACUAAUACCGCAUACGACCUCCGGGUGAAAGCAGGGGAUCUUCGGACCUUGCGCCGAUGGAUGAGCCGAUGCCGGAUUAGCUAGUUGGAGGGGUAACGGCCCACCAAGGCGACGAUCCGUAGCUGGUCUGAGAGGAUGAUCAGCCACACUGGAACUGAGACACGGCCCAGACUCCUACGGGAGGCAGCAGUGGGGAAUAUUGGACAAUGGGCGCAAGCCUGAUCCAGCCAUGCCGCGUGUGUGAAGAAGGCCUUCGGGUUGUAAAGCACUUUUGUUGGGAAAGAAAAGCAGCCGGUUAAUACCCGGUUGUAAUGACGGUACCCAAAGAAUAAGCACCGGCUAACUUCGUG
rnacentral:rRNA from 1 species